AGUUUGAUCCUGGCUCAGAUUGAACGCUGGCGGCAUGCCUUACACAUGCAAGUCGAACGGCAGCACGGGGGCAACCCUGGUGGCGAGUGGCGAACGGGUGAGUAAUACAUCGGAACGUGUCCUGUAGUGGGGGAUAGCCCGGCGAAAGCCGGAUUAAUACCGCAUACGCUCUACGGAGGAAAGGGGGGGAUCUUAGGACCUCCCGCUACAGGGGCGGCCGAUGGCAGAUUAGCUAGUUGGUGGGGUAAAGGCCUACCAAGGCGACGAUCUGUAGCUGGUCUGAGAGGACGACCAGCCACACUGGGACUGAGACACGGCCCAGACUCCUACGGGAGGCAGCAGUGGGGAAUUUUGGACAAUGGGGGCAACCCUGAUCCAGCAAUGCCGCGUGUGUGAAGAAGGCCUUCGGGUUGUAAAGCACUUUUGUCCGGAAAGAAAACGCCGUGGUUAAUACCCGUGGCGGAUGACGGUACCGGAAGAAUAAGCACCGGCUAACUACGUGCCAGCAGCCGCGGUAAUACGUAGGGUGCAAGCAUUAAUCGGAAUUACUGGGCGUAAAGCGUGCGCAGGCGGUCCGCUAAGACAGAUGUGAAAUCCCCGGGCUUAACCUGGGAACUGCAUUUGUGACUGGCGGGCUAGAGUAUGGCAGAGGGGGGUAGAAUUCCACGUGUAGCAGUGAAAUGCGUAGAGAUGUGGAGGAAUACCGAUGGCGAAGGCAGCCCCCUGGGCCAAUACUGACGCUCAUGCACGAAAGCGUGGGGAGCAAACAGGAUUAGAUACCCUGGUAGUCCGCGCCCUAAACGAUGUCAACUAGUUGUCGGGUCUUCAUUGACUUGGUAACGUAGCUAACGCGUGAAGUUGACCGCCUGGGGAGUACGGUCGCAAGAUUAAAACUCAAAGGAAUUGACGG
rnacentral:rRNA from 1 species